UCUGGCAUAUCAAAAAGCGGAGGAAAAGAAACCAAGGGAUUGCCUCAGUAACGGCGAGUGAAGCGGCAAAAGCUCAAAUUUGAAAUCCUUUGGGAGUUGUAAUUUGAAGGUGAAGGGACCGCGGUAGAUGAUGAUUAAAGUCCCUUGGAACAGGGCGCCUUAGAGGGUGAGAGCCCCGUACAGUCAUGCAUCUUCCUCUUAUGUUCCUUUUCCAAAGAGUCGAGUUGUUUGGGAAUGCAGCUCAAAGUGGGUGGUAAAUUCCAUCUAAAGCUAAAUACCGGCGAGAGACCGAUAGCGAACAAGUACCGUGAGGGAAAGAUGAAAAGCACUUUGAAAAGAGAGUGAAACAGUACGUGAAAUUGUUGAAAGGGAAGGGCUUGCAAGCAGACACAACCCUUGUGGUUGGGCCAGCAUCGGUUGCUCGGGGUGGAUAAGGCGGCGGGAAUGUAGCUUCCUCGGAAGCAUUAUAUCCCGCUGAGAUACACCCACCGGCGACCGAGGCCUGCGAUUCUUGAAUCAAGGAUGCUGGCGUAAUGGUUGCAAGCCGCCCGUCUUGAAACACGGACCCA
rnacentral:rRNA from 1 species